ACAUUCUAGAAUGUCAGGUACAACAGAGACAGCUGUUUGUCCCCCAGUAUCCUUCAGACAAAGCCAUAUAUGAUUGAAGGUUAUCAGUACUGUGCUUUUGGAGGAUUCAGAAGAAGUUAUAUCUGAUUGGGAGAUUGAAAAGGAUUGGCCUGAAGGAGAGGUGGUUUUUGAACUGCAUCUUAAAGGAUGAGGAAACUGAGGCUGAGAGGGUAGAGAACUUUGCCUGAGGUCACUCAGCAGGGACCCACCCAUCACAGUAAAUGCCAGCACUGCUGAUGCCAAAACAAUGUUAUUUGUAGGCCCUCGGAAUUUGUGACCUGAAGGAAGAAGAGCAGGGCCGUGGGAAGUAUGUAACCAGUGUCAUGCCCCUGGUCCCAAGGAAGCAGUGGCUUGGCCUGAACACCCUGUCCUACCUGGUCCUACCUGGAUGCUGGCCUCAGUAAGCUCCUGGGCUCAUUGAAGAUGAACCUAGCAGUAGUAUUUACACCACUUGUUGUGUGCCCACUGUGGGCCCGGCGCCAUGCCGAGUGCUCUAUGGAUGUGAGAUGAGAACACUGAAGCAGUUUUUUCUAAAGAUAGCUGCCUGGCACAGUGGCUCACAUCUGUAGUCCCAGCAUUUGGGGAGGCCAAGGCAGGUGGAUCACUUGAGGCCAGGAAUUCAAGACCAGCAUGGCCAACAUGUUUUCCAUCCUUCCUUCAGUGCUGGGAGAGAAAAGCAUACGACAUAGACAGGGAGGUCAAGCUCCACCACGCAGAUGAGGUGCAGGCCACCAGUCUUCCUCUGCCACAUCUCUUUCUGAAAAGGCAGCCUGUGCUGAGAAACCAUGACUGAGUAAGCCAAGCUUUGUUGGCCGCACCUGCCAAGCCACAGGGUGCCUCAGGCUUGGAGCAUCCCGGAGCCAGUUACAACCCAAGACUUCAGCCUUCUGGAAGGUGUUGGGUCAGCCACCCUGAAGGACGAUCCUGCCCAAGUGACAUGCUUUGCUCUUCCUUCUCACCCAGGACUUCACAUUCACCCUUGCAAUCCAUGUGGGGACACUGUUGGAUAGGAGGCGUGGUCCCAGCGUGGUCUCCCUGUCUGGGCCUCUGCCUAUGCCAAAUGUUUGCCUUACGCUGCACACUCAAGAGGUUCCAUGUAUACAGAUGGGAAUUCCAGAGCUACAGAAAAGGCAGCAAGCACCAUGAUUUAAGCUAACCAGUGUGGAUUCACACCUUCCUCUCUCUCUAUCAGUGGCAGAACUACCAGCUAGAGUAAGAAGUGGUUGAUCCAGGACCUAAACAUUCUGGAAACUCUUGCCCACUUCUGGGAGAAAUGACCCAAUCCAUAGUACUAAGCACACCUUAACUUUCGUAGGACGCAGGCAAGUUGUCAUACCGUGUGCCUAAAUAUAGAAAAAUGAUCCACUGGACUAAUAAAGUGUUAAAUAAAAUAUGUCCUGACUG
rnacentral:lncRNA from 1 species